rnacentral:rRNA from 1 species
UACGGAGGAUCCGAGCGUUAUCCGGAUUUAUUGGGUUUAAAGGGAGCGUAGGUGGAUUGUUAAGUCAGUUGUGAAAGUUUGCGGCUCAACCGUAAAAUUGCAGUUGAAACUGGCAGUCUUGAGUACAGUAGAGGUGGGCGGAAUUCGUGGUGUAGCGGCGAAAUGCUUAGAUAUCACGAAGAACUCCGAUUGCGAAGGCAGCUCACUGGACUGCAACUGACACUGAGGCUCGAAAGUGUGGGUAUCAAACAGG